rnacentral:rRNA from 1 species
ACGCUCGACACCUACGGGAGGCAGCAGUAGGGAAUCUUCCACAAUGGACGCAAGUCUGAUGGAGCAACGCCGCGUGAGUGAAGAAGGUCUUCGGAUCGUAAAACUCUGUUGUUAGAGAAGAACACGAGUGAGAGUAACUGUUCAUUCGAUGACGGUAUCUAACCAGCAAGUCACGGCUAACUACGUGUCAGCAGCCGCGGUAAUCUGAGCGGGCUGGCAAGGC